CAAAAAUAAAUUUGACAAAUUCAUUUCACACGAAACCUUUUUUUCUUUUCGACUUUGUGCAAAUAAAGCGCUGUGUAUGCCACUCAUACGCUCGGGCGGUCGCUGUUGUAUUGCGCGCAGUAACUUUCGUGAUUUCUCAUACAAGAGUUUGGUAUAAAUGAUGGUGGCAUCGCAUGCAGAUUUUGCGACUGUCAAAAUCAAUUUGUCGCAAUAAAUUCUAAGGUCACAUGUGCUUUCACCACAAUAAUAAAUGCGAGAUAAACGCAAAAGCUUGCUGGUUUCCGCAUCCAACAUUGAAAGCGCAUUUUUACCAAUCAAAAAUCAACAACAACAACAAAGUAUGUGCGCGGUCGGUGUGUCGAAUGCCAGGUGAAGUGAAAAAAGUCAGCAAAGCAUUGUGACGGCUGGUGGCAACGCUGUGGCAUGCAUCACACGUCCACAUAUACCUAUAUAAGCGUGCUAAAAACAGAAGCACAGCUCGAAAAUCAAGCAUAAUAAAUUCGUUGCGGGCCCAAUGGCAAUACAAUACACACGCACAUUUAUGCGUGUAUGUGUGCGAGUUUUUCGAUGUCACAUGCAAGUAUUGCCGCAUGAUUGUGGCAGCAGCGUUGUGGCGCGUGGCAGAGAUAACUGUUUGCGGUGCGAGGAAUUGCGGUACAUUGUUGUGAUCGAGGAAAAAUUAUUUCGUUUGCCACGAAAUUGAACGCAUACAAUGCGACAAACACGAAAGCGAAAUAUGCGCGUAGCAUAUCGCAAGGCGCACAGCGUUUUCAUGCAAAGAUUUGCUAAUGCAAAUAUAUACAGAAAAUCUUGUUAUUUUUAUUGACGCAGGUGAAAUGUGUUGCACAGCAAUGAAAAAUGUCGCGCAACUGGCAGAAAUGUUGGACGAGAGCUUAAAAUUUAAUGAUUAGUAGAUGAAAUUCUGCUCUACAAGUCCAGUUUUAAACAACUAACAAAUAAAUAAAAAUUUAACAUAAAUCAA